rnacentral:rRNA from 1 species
CGAACGGGUGAGUAACGCGUGAGGAACCUGCCUCAAAGAGGGGGACAACAGUCGGAAACGGCUGCUAAUACCGCAUAAGCCCACGGCUCGGCAUCGAGCAGAGGGAAAAGGAGCAAUCCGCUUUGAGAUGGCCUCGCGUCCGAUUAGCUAGUUGGUGAGGUAACGGCCCACCAAGGCGACGAUCGGUAGCCGGACUGAGAGGUUGAACGGCCACAUUGGGACUGAGACACGGCCCAG